UCUCCGUAGGUGAACCUGCGGAGGGAUCAUUACCGAGCUCAUGCCCUUACGGGUAGAUCUCCCACCCUGUGUUAUUAUUACCUUUGUUGCUUUGGCGGGCCGCCAGGCUCCGGUCAGGCUAUCGGCUUCGGCUGGUAAGCGCCCGCCAGAGGACCCUAUAUCCUGAUUAUUAGUGUCGUCUGAGUACUAUAUAAUAGUUAAAACUUUCAACAACGGAUCUCCUGGUUCUG
rnacentral:misc_RNA from 1 species